UCAUCCCUUUGUUGUUUAUACGUUACAUGAAAUACAUUUAGGAAUAUACUGCAAGCCUGUGGAUUACAAAGUCAAACAGCAUUUAGGCAUAUGUCCAGUUGCGCAUGUCUAUUCUUAACGUGAAUGGGUUUUUCUUUGUUACAAUAUGUGCAAUGUAAACUGUGAACUCUGCAAAGUUGACUCAUAUUUUAGUCUCCCUUUCACAUCUUUCUACUCUUCUUCCCUUCUUUAUUUUCAUGUUCUGAUAUUCUAAAUACUACAGUUUACUUGUUUGUCUCUCUACCACUAGAGUGUAUGAACCACAAAAUGAUGCCUGGCAUGUUAGUAAACAUUUGUUGAACACAUAAAUAUUCAUGUAUGUUAAGAUAGUAUACUUGAAAA
rnacentral:lncRNA from 1 species